rnacentral:rRNA from 1 species
GUAGGUGGCUUGUAAAGUGAAUAGUGAAACCUGGUGGCUCAACCAUACAGACUAUUAUUCAAACUCACAAGCUCGAGAGUAGCAGAGGUAACNUGGAAUUUCUUGUGUAGGAGUGAAAUCCGUAGAUAUAAGAAGGAACACCAAUGGCGUAGGCAGGUUACNUGGGCUAUUUCUGACACUGAGGCACGAAAGCGUGGGGAGCGAACCGGAUUAGAUACCCGGGUAGUCCACGCCGUAAACGAUGGAUACUAGCUGUUGGAGGUAUCGACCCCUUCAGUAGCGAAGCUAACGCGUUAAGUAUCCCGCCUGUGGAGUACGGUCGCAAGACUAAAACAUAAAGGAAUUGACGGGGACCCGCACAAGCGGUGGAUCGUGUUCUUUAAUUCGAUGAUAAACGAAGAACCUUACCAGGGUUUGACAUCCUUGGAAUUUCUGUGAAGGCAGAGAGUGCUUUAUUGAGCCAAGUGACAGGUGAUGCAUGGCCGUCGUCAGCUCGUGUCGUGAGAUGUUUGGUUAAGUCCAUCAACGAGCGCAACCCUUGUGAAUAGUUGUAUUUUUCUAUUCAGACUGCCCCGGUAACGGGGAGGAAGGANGGGNAUGAUGUCAGGUCAGUAUUUCCCUUACACCCUGGGCUAGAAACACGAUACAAUGGUUAGUACAAUGCGCAGCGAAGCCGCGAGGUGGAGCAAAUCGCAUCAAAA